CAACACAAACAAGGCACAUUUUUUCUCCAUUUUUGGUCUAUCAUCCUCCUAACACGAACCAUAAGAGGCACGUAAAUGAAAAAUCUAAUAACUUUACGUGUUAUAUGGUAUGAAAUUCAUAAGUACAUAUAACAAAAUGACGAGUCUCAUUUGCACAAUGUCAAUUACCAAGUAAAUAAUUUCAUCAUAAAGACGAAGUCUUCCCACAUACGUCCAAAGAGUCAUGUGAAAAAACAACCCUAUUAAACCAGCAUGCUAGUUAUUAUGGUAAGAAAUCUAUAAGCAAAUGUAACAGAAUAAAAAAAGAGUCUCGACCACAUGCUUUCUACUACUAUGCAAAUGCAGCGCAGUCAUCUACUGUCAGAUCUAUACAAGAAAAUGGAAAUCGAGUAUCACGGCAUAAAACUAAAUUUCAACAUCAAAUCUUAGGGCGGAUGACCAUAAGAAUUUUAAACAAAGACUUAAAAAUAUUAGUCAAUGAGACAAGUUUAAAGAAGCAAGAAAAAAAAAACUAAAGUUAAUAUUUAGUGAGGCUAAUCCCAGGAGUAACGGACUUGACGGGUCCACUUGGGAUCCUAUACGGAUCUUAUUAGAUUUUAAGAAUAAUUUUAUCAUGUUUAUUUAUCAGUUAUUAUGUAGUUAUACAUUAUUUUAUAUUUUUUUAUUUAAAAUUAAAUACAAAUAGUACGUAAUAGAAACUGAUAUCUACGAUGAAAGACAAAAGGAUCCGAGCGGAUCACUCAUCCGACUAUAUAUCAAAACUUCCAUAUACAAGAGAGAGAGCAGGAGAGAGAAAGGCAGUCUCUGGAUGGAGAGAGAGGGUUGGUUGCUUUUUACUUCGUCUCCAUAGAUAGAUAGCACGCAUCCUAAGCAGUCACAGGGAGUGAAAAAUGCUAUUAUAUAUACUCAGCAAAUCGGUCUCUGUGUAACGGCUACUUUUGGUGAGAGAAGUUGAGAGAGAUAGCAAAGAGGCUCUGGCAUUUGGGCGACGACGGUUGAGUUGCUGCUGCUGCUUCAUAAAUGGAUUACAAUAUUGACAAGUAAAUAUAAAGACCCCCUCUUUCUGUCGUUCUGGCUUCUGGGUUUCUCGGAUUUUUUAUUUUUUAUUUUUUAUUUUUGGUGAUAAAAGUGUUGAUUUUUUGUGGGUUUUGGGAUUGUUGUGGCAAUGUAGCUGGAAUAUUGAUUUGGGGGAUUGGAUGAUGGUUCUGUGAAUUGGGUUUGCUUCAAUUUUUGGGGUUUUUAAUUAUUUGGAGAUGAUUGUGAUUUAUUUGGGACUUUAAGGCUGAUACGAGGAUGAUGUGGGCUCUCUGAUUUUACUUGGUGGGUCAUUGUUUUGUGCUUUAGCUUAAUUUUUGUACUGUAUGGCUUAAGCAGAAUGCCCAAAUGUAGAUUAUCAUAUCCUGCUAGUAUAUCUAUGUUUAUACUUCCAGAUCCUUAUUGCAGAAGAAUCCCUCUAUGGAUACAUGUUUAGCAUCCUAGCAGUGGAUCAUAUGUUUCUUUAGUAGUCUUCUUUUUCGGGUUUACUGUCACUUUCUGAUUUGGAGUGAAGUUCAUUUGUUUGGUUUCUGCUUAUUGUUUGGUCACAUUUCCUUUUAGCAUUGUUUUCAAUCGGCAGUUUCACUGAUUACAUUGCUCUUUUAGCUAUUGAUUUGUUUCAUUCCAACUAUGUUGAAUCUACCAGCAUUGACAGAAAGUAAAAAAUAAGGACUGAUUCAAAAUGUAGAUUCUACAAGACAUUACCUAAAUAUGCUGCUUUUGUAGUCUUGGAGCCCGAGCUUAUUGUGUACAUUGUGCAAACGUUCCACUGUGGCUCAUCCUUUGAGAUGGUUGCAGUUUGUGGUUUUCGGUUCAGUAAGUUGAAGAUACAAGUACUUAUUUCUGACAUCAUUUUGCUUUCCUUUCUAUUGUGUGAAAUGAUAAUAGUGAGCACUGGAAUUGGAAAAGGAAUAAUCAGCGUGCCCAAAAGGACUCAAAUCAUGGUAUGUUCUCACCACAGUUCGUAAUUUGCUAAUAUAUUGCUAUACGAGGAUGAAGUUAGUGAUUUCUUGCUUGGUACUAUUAUUUUGAGCAGACAUGUCUGAAUGCAUGUGGAAUGGAGUGCCACAGAACGAAGAAGACAUUUCCUACAUGUUCGAUGAUGAAACAACACCAGUUAAGGCUUGUGGGGAUUUGGCAUAUCAUGUUAACUUUAGAGGUUAGGCUUCCUUGUUAUCUUCCCUCCUCAUUGUUCUUGGCAUUUUCUUGCUUUUGUUGCAUGCGCAAUUCAGAAACAUUGCUUUUAUGUUUGUGUUUUGAUAUCAAAGAUGUGGAUUUCAGAUAAUAGGACCCAGGAACCAGAACCAGAAGAACAGUCUUUCUCACAAAUAAAGAGGCGCCGGAUGCUACAAUUUGACACUCAUGAUUUAGAUCCUUCCCUUUCAUGUGACGAGUUGUCAUCUUCAUUCUUGAAUACAAGUGUAUGUGCUGGGUAGUUCUUUCUUGUCUGAAUUAUCACAUCUAUAAGGAACGCUGUAUUAUUCAACGGCUGCUUGACGAACUACUUUUGAAUUUGCGGCACGAAUCAGUUAGUGCAUAAUCUUUUCUAUCUCAAUGCUACUGCAUUGCAAUGGUGAUAUGGGUGUUCAGUAGGAAGAUGACUUUUGCAUUAUAUCUGCUACUCAUUUGAAGUAGGCAAUUCAAAUUGGCGUUUUCAUAUGUUAUUUCUUAUGCCAGCCUUGAGUAACAAUGUUGACAGGGCUGCGGUUUCUCUAGUAGUCUAGCUUUGGGUUUUACUUUGAUAAGGGAGUUUCAAGUUGUAUUGUCUGCAGUAAGAAGUUGGAAGACUCAGAACUUGAGUUUUUCCAUGGAGACAGGAUUUCAGUACAUAAACAGCAUAUGACAUGUGCCAUGUAUUUAUUGUAUACUAAUUUUUCUGCUCUAUAUAUAGGAGAGGGCAGAUUCAAUUGAAGAGGCUUUUUCUGAAGCGUCGCAAUGGGUGUCAGGGUUUGCAGGUUUGUCUCUUCCAGAAUAUGUCUUACUAAAUUUACUUGAACGUUUAUGCCUAGGGUUUUCCCGUUAAUCAUAUUGUUUAUGUUAGGAAAUCCAUCUUCAUCUGGCUUUGAAGGCCUGGAUCCGUCACCUGAUGAGUGGAUUGCUGAAUGCUUCAACGAUACCAAUAUGCAUUUCAGCCCUGAUGAGUUGUAUGCUUUUGGGGGCUCUCUAUUUUUAAGUUUUUUAAAAAUCAUUUAGUAAUUUACUAUAAUCUGAUUGCUUUAUCAUUUGAUACUCAGGAAUUUCUCAGGGGCAUCGGAUGUUCAACUUGACAUCACAAGUAAAUUACAUUGCUUCUUUCCAUUAAAUUUGUACUUUAGCCUUUGUUCCUUUAUACCCUUAUCCGUCAAUUAGUUCUAAGUCUACAAGUUCAAUUCCCUAUUGCAGAGCUCUGUGAUCUCCAACCUGAGCAUGAAGUGAAUGUGGUUCAACAACGAGUUACCCAAACACCUCGAAAUGUUAUUUUUAAAGGUACUGUCAUGUUAUUGACAUUGUUUGUUUCCUGUUUCGAAUGUACUUGUUAUCAGCUCCCUGUCCUUUCUUAGGUCAUUCAUAUAUAUAUAUAUGUUGAAAUGAAAAUUAAUCCUCAACGUUCUCUGUUUGCGUUCAUAGGUAGGAAGUCUUACAUUCGGACUCCCACUAAGCUAGCUACUUGUGUGGCAUAUCCAUUUGCCUUCAUUAAACCCUCUGGCGCCCAUGGAGAUGUAACUCUGAAGGACAUAAACCAGCGGAUCCGCACUCCACCACCUUCAAAAUCAAAGCAAAAACAGGAAGACCCUGCUGCUUACCCCACUUCGGCCUUUUCAGGGAAGCCUGUGGUUGGAAAAACUAAAAUCCACACUGAAGGAGGGAAAGGCAGCAUUACAAUUAUGAGAACCAAAGGCUAAGAGGCAGUAGAGAAGCGGUACUCCCAACUUCCCGUCUUGCUGCCCUUCUGCUUUCCCUAUGUUUUUUGGGAUGAUUUUUUCCUGUAAUAUUCAUGGGCAGUCAGGUACAGAAGUUAACUUCAUUUGUUUUUCUUUCUUUUGGGUUGUUUUCGGAAAUCAUAAGUCACGGCAAAGUGUUCAUGUUUCCAAGUGUCUCUAGCUGUCAAAUAGUAGCGGUUCUAUACAUUGUAUGACUGAGAAUCUCAAAAGUCUACUAGGUACUCGUUGAUUUCGGUUUCUCAAAAACCUUGGUAAUCAUUUCAGGAACAUAAUACACAUAACAUUGUGUAUUUCGAUUUAUGUCUGAAUCUGAAAGGUGUUAAGAUGAAAUGACAAGUGUAGACUUUAUCUGGUUUGCAUGUUCAUUAACUUCAUUUCGCCUAAACCUCUCUUUGUAGUUUGUAUAGUAUUCACGCCUUGUGUAUACUGGCGGAGAUUCUUAGCGGUCCCUCUUUGCAUAUCUCUGUGCUUAGUUCUCUCCCUUUGCAUAAGAGAGAUAGACUGACGGAGAUAUACAUCCGCGCUAACAAGGGCCACAGAGACAUUUCACUUGGUCUCCUUGGGGAAUUAAAACAAAGAGGGUAGAGCAUGCUUGCUUGUGGCAGGCUUGUAAAGGGGAAGGGGAAAAGGCAAAGCAUUGUAGAAACAGAAAAGCAGACAUCCACCCACUCUGGUAUUCUGUAGCAAAACUUCACAUGCUUUAAAAUUUAAAUGGGUUAAAAAGGUUCAGGUGAUUAACUUUACAAUUAGGAGUCACUGCUCUACCUAAUUAGCCAAAAUUAGAAGGAUAAUGGGAGAAUAAAUAGAAGAGAAGUGGUUUGGCUCCCGCUUGGUGACAGAGAAUAUUUUUGGGUAUUUUUUUGAAAUGAGAGUGAAAUUUUGCCUAUUUUUGACCAAACCAGUCAAUAUUAAAAGGGAACUUUAACGAAAACCACACGGUACUGUUCACUUUAAUGAAAAACCACAUUUUUACACUAAAAAGUCAAUUCUGGUACUAUUCAUUUUACCCUUUAUUUUGUCCUUAUCAUUAAAAUUCAAAGUUUUCAAGUCCUUUUCAUUAGUUUUCCUAUAUUAAAAUGGCUAAUUACUCAGUUGCCCUUUGAUGUGUUUUCGAGUCUCAUGAAAAUUGUUGUCCCAUCUUGUCCUUUAGAUUUUGUCUUUUGUCCCACGUAAUCACAUUCCGUUAAGUAUGCUAACUUUUUCGUUAAAAAUGCUAAUGUAGCAUGUGCGGGACCCAAUCCUUUGCUUUUGUGCAUGCCAUGUCAGCACCACGUGAAAAAAGACCAAAAAAUUGUUUUGUAUAAUUGACGGAGGCAUAUGAAAAUGUGGGACACAAAAACAUGAUUUAGAGACAAGUUUAAUAGGAACUGUGACCCAAUCUAGCCCAACAAAAAUAAAUGUAACAUAAAUUCCAACCUAUCUUAAUAAACCAGCCUCCAAACCCAACCCCCAUAUCACAUGCUCAUUGUCAACUUUUUUUGUUUAUCAAACGAUAUUAUCUACAGCUUUCCAAAAAAAAAAAAAAAUGAUAUUAUCUACAUUAAAGAUAAGGGGUAAACUUAGCCUCAUAAGGAGCUAACAAUAUUGUGGUUCAAAUUCGUCUUUGAUAAGAAUUGAACCUAAGACCUUUCACUUGCAAGUGAAGAGGAAUACCACUAAAUCGCAGCCUAAGUUUCAACCUGUUUAAGUUUAGUCAAAUUUUAGAAAACAUUUUCUCCCAACGAAAAAGAAAAGUUGGCACUAAAAUGUUUUUUAUUGGCUUUUUAUAUUAGCAUCCUAAAAAAUGUUGAAUGCACCCCACUUUAAAAUUUAAUAUUAAAUAAUUUAUUUACCCCACUAUGCAAUGACAAUUUUGACCUUAUUAGGUUUAAAAAAAAUAAAAAAUUUCUAAAUGCACCCCAAAUCACUUGUAGCGUAUUAUUUAUCUUCUUCAACUAUCAAAACCCCUUCUACUCUCUAUUGUUGAACAAAACCCUAACCAAUGAAACUACAGACAUAUUGAUUGAGAACAAUUAUUUUUGACAAAUGGAAAACGGAAUCAAUGUACCUUCCACAUGUAUUGAGAGAAGGUAAUUUUGAAAGUCUAAUGGAAUCAUUUGGUGCCAAUCCCCAUCAAAUUUGUUGGUUCUUUUAUGUUAUUUGUAUUAGAAAGAUGAAGACCUAGUUCUUAAAUAUAUGAAUGACAGCAUAUGUCUAGGAAAACCAACCUUGUCAUCCCAAAGAGAAAAGUUUAGCGAUUAAGAAAGGCAACAUUUUCUAUGGCCACCCUUGACAAGAAGGGUAGCAAUUAUAGGUGUCACGCCCCGAUCUCGACAUACAUCCAGGAUCGACACGUGACGUCCUCAAGUCUCCGUAUAUCUAACAUACCUCACCUCCGGAAUAUGGCAAAGCAAAACUCGAGCAUCAGUUCACAUAGUAAUUUUCAUAUACUUUAUGGCUGCAUCUAACAUCCUCGUUAGACUGCCUACGUACCCUAAGACUGGAUCAAGUCAUUCGUAGUUCCUUACAUACCUCACGUUAUUACAAAGUUUGAUGAGAAUUCCAUCUCAUAUCAAAGCAAGCCAUAAUCACACCAAUAGACAUCCAACAAAAGCAAUAAUUCAAUUGCCAUCCAAGUCAUCCAAUUAUGCACACGAUCAAGUAACACCCAACAAGAGUAGUCAACCAAUGAGAUAAAUAAUAAUAUAACAAUCCACGAAGUUUAGUAUAAUCAAACUCCGUAAAUGUCCGUAGUAUUUCUCCUAACUAGACUCCUAAGCCUUGCUCUUAGUUACUAAUACACGGAUCCUUCAACAUGGCCAAUUCCAUUUCCACGAAUAUAAGACAUUACUAAAUGCAUGACAUGAACUUUAAUUCUAGUCAAAGUACUUGGAAUUACUAAUUUAAUAGCACCCAAUUCACAUGCCCUUUUUGGUUGAUAUAUAAUAACAUCAUCACUGCCAGUACGUAUGAAUGGAAAUAAUUCUAGACCAUAAGUGAUUUAUGCGUUUCAUUAGGUAUAAAAGCACCAAUACAUUAAGUCAUUAAGCUUAUAAUUGUAUAUGAAAAUGGUUCUUUGAAACCCAAAACAUAACCAUAUAAAGUGGUUUAGUCACAAACUCAAUAUGGAUGAGUAAUUUAGAAUUAAAACUGAGAGAAGAACGAAUAUUGCAAAAGUAGCAACCUCUUCCCCACAAAAACUGCAGAAAAGCAGUUUCAGUCAAUCAAGAUUAAACCUAAUUUCGAACACCCAUAACUAUACCGAUUGAUGCAAACUUACAUGGGUUUCAAAACUUAUUUUGUGUACUUUAAAAGCAUAAAAGAUUUGUAGAUAACGGGAUUCUAAUUUGAAAGUUAUGCAAGUUACAAAAUAGAGUCUCAAAAACGCUGUAUUUGCUACUAUCUAGUAGUCUCGAGACUCAAGUUUGAAUAUGAUUUUGACAUAUCAAUACUCAAUGGAAUUAUGUGAAAUUAGAUGGGUUUAGAUCACUAAGAUGUCUAGUUUUAAACCACGUACUAUACGCUCAAAAGGAAUUCAUAAGGACAAGGAACUCAAGAGUCAAAGUAGGCUACUUGAAACAUAGUUUUUCUGCAACCUAGAACCUAUACUCUUUUUAUUCAAAUUACAUGCUUCCACACAAUUUUGAAUUCAUGUCUAUAACUUCUAUUUCAAUUAUAUUCAACAAUUAACAAGAAUUGACCUUUUAAUCCAAAUUCUAGGACCAGAUAUUUUGAUCAAAACACCCAAAGUAUAAAAUUAAAAGCAAUACGAAAGAUUGAUACAAAGCAGCCAUGGAAGGAAUAAAGAGAGAUGGGACUCGUUACCUAUGCUGCAGCUUGGCAAAAACAAUCAUAUUUCUGUUAUGAUUCAGACAACAUGCUUGUACACCUUUCCUCUCAGUUCCUAGUUAACAUCUUAAUUCCUUAUUCCUCUUUGUUUCCCCUUGCAUCUUCUUCCAUGUUUCCUUCAACUUCUCUCAAAGAUCCAGAUAUAGUUUCCGUCCUCGUCCCCCUUUUCUGAUUUAUAGUUUAGGGCAGUGGGAUUCCUUGUAAUCCCCCCUUCCAUUUUUUCAACGCCAUCUCCCCC
rnacentral:lncRNA from 1 species